ACGAUGAACCACCUUCGGGUGGGGAUUAGUGGCGAACGGGUGAGUAACACGUGGGCAAUCUGCCCUUCACUCUGGGACAAGCCCUGGAAACGGGGUCUAAUACCGGAUACUGACCUGCCAAGGCAUCUUGGCGGGUCGAAAGCUCCGGCGGUGAAGGAUGAGCCCGCGGCCUAUCAGCUUGUUGGUGAGGUAAUGGCUCACCAAGGCGACGACGGGUAGCCGGCCUGAGAGGGCGACCGGCCACACUGGGACUGAGACACGGCCCAGACUCCUACGGGAGGCAGCAGUGGGGAAUAUUGCACAAUGGGCGAAAGCCUGAUGCAGCGACGCCGCGUGAGGGAUGACGGCCUUCGGGUUGUAAACCUCUUUCAGCAGGGAAGAAGCGAAAGUGACGGUACCUGCAGAAGAAGCGCCGGCUAACUACGUGCCAGCCGCCGCGGU
rnacentral:rRNA from 1 species